GACGAACGCUGGCGGCGUGCUUAACACAUGCAAGUCGAACGGAAAGGCCCUGCUUUUGUGGGGUGCUCGAGUGGCGAACGGGUGAGUAACACGUGAGUAACCUUCCCUUGUCUUUCGUGUAACUUCAGGAAACUGGGGCUACUCUCAUAUAGGAUCUCCUGCUGCAUGGUGGGGGUUGGAUAGUUGAGGCUGUUGGGGAUGGACUCGCGGCUUAUCAGUUUGUUGGUUGGGUAGUGGCUUACCAAGGCUUUGGAGGGUAGCCGGCCGUUGAGGGGUACCGGCGACAAUGGGACUGAGAUACGGCCCAGAGUCCUACGUGAGGCAGCAGUGGGGAAUAUUGUACAAUGGGCGGACGCGUGAGGCAGAAACGCCGCGUGCGGGAUGACGGCCUUCGGGUAGAAAAACGCAUUCGCCUGUGACGAAGCGUGAGUGACGGUAAUGAGUAAAGAAGCACCGGCUAACUACGUG
rnacentral:rRNA from 1 species